UACGGGAGGCAGCAGUGGGGAAUAUUGCACAAUGGGCGCAAGCCUGAUGCAGCCAUGCCGCGUGUAUGAAGAAGGCCUUCGGGUUGUAAAGUACUUUCAGUCGUGAGGAAGGUGUUAAGGUUAAUAACCUUAGCAAUUGACGUUAGCGACAGAAGAAGCACCGGCUAACUCCGUGCCAGCAGCCGCGGUAAUACGGAGGGUGCGAGCGUUAAUCGGAAUUACUGGGCGUAAAGGGCACGCAGGCGGUUAAUUAAGUUGGAUGUGAAAUCCCCGGGCUUAACCCGGGAAUGGCAUUCAAGACUGGUUAGCUAGAGUCUUGUAGAGGGGGUAGAAUUCCAUGUGUAGCGGUGAAAUGCGUAGAGAUGUGGAGGAAUACCGGUGGCGAAGGCGGCCCCUGGACAAAGACUGACGCUCAUGUGCGAAAGCGUGGGGAGCAAACAGGGAUUAGAUACC
rnacentral:rRNA from 1 species